rnacentral:rRNA from 1 species
CCUACGGGUGGCAGCAGUGGGGAAUAUUGCACAAUGGGGGAAACCCUGAUGCAGCGACGCCGCGUGAGUGAUGAAGUAUUUCUGUAUGUAAAGCUUUAUCAGCAGGGAAGAAAAUGACGGUACCUGACCAAGAAGCCACGGCUAACUACGAGCCAGCAGCCGCGGUAAUACGCAGGGGGCAAGCGUUAUCCGGAUUUACUGGGUGUAAAGGGAGCGUAGACGGGGGAACAAGUCAGAAGUGAAAACCCGGGGCUCAACCCGUGGAGUGCUGUUGAAACUGGUAGGCUGGAGUGCAGGAGAGGUAAGCGGAAUUCCUGGUGUAGCGGUGAAAUGCGUAGAUAUUAGGAGGAACACCGGUGGCGAAGGCAGCUUGCUGGACUGUAACUGACGUUGAUGCUCGAAAGCGUGGGGAGCAAACAGGAUUAGAUACCCCUGUAGUC